CAGCCGCCGCGGGAAAACCGAGGGUGCAAGCGUUAAUCGGAAUUACUGGGCGUAAAGCGCGCGUAGGUGGUUUGUUAAGUUGGAUGUGAAAGCCCCGGGCUCAACCUGGGAACUGCAUCCAAAACUGGCAAGCUAGAGUACGGUAGAGGGUGGUGGAAUUUCCUGUGUAGCGGUGAAAUGCGUAGAUAUAGGAAGGAACACCAGUGGCGAAGGCGACCACCUGGACUGAUACUGACACUGAGGUGCGAAAGCGUGGGGAGCAAACAGGAUUAGAUACCCCUGUAGUCCCUGUCUCUUAUAC
rnacentral:rRNA from 1 species